AUUGAACGCUGGCGGCAGGCCUAACACAUGCAAGUCGAGCGGGCGGCGGAGGGUGGAUAAAUCCUGGGGAAUUGCCCAGUCGGGGGGAUUACAAGUUGAAAACGACUGUUAAACCCGAAUCCGAUUGGAUUGCCCAGGUGGGAUUAGCUAGUUGGUGAGGUAAUGGCUCACCAAGGCGACGAUCCCUAGCUGGUCUGAGAGGAUGAUCAGCCACACUGGAACUGAGACACGGUCCAGACUCCUACGGGAGGCAGCAGUGGGGAAUAUUGCACAAUGGGGGAAACCCUGAUGCAGCCAUGCCGCGUGUGUGAAGAAGGCCUUCGGGUUGUAAAGCACUUUCAGCGAGGAGGCGUUACUCGCAGAAGAAGCACCGGCUAACUCCGUGCCAGCAGCCGCGGUAAUUC
rnacentral:rRNA from 1 species